AUUGAACGCUGGCGGCAGGCCUAACACAUGCAAGUCGAACGGUAACAGGAAGACGCUUGCUUCUUUGCUGACGAGUGGCGGACGGGUGAGUCAUGUCUGGGAAACUUCCUGAUGGAGGGGGAUAACUACUGGAAACGGUAGCUAAUACCGCAUAACGUCGCAAGACCAACGAGGGGGACCUUCGGGCCUCUUGCCAUCGGCUGUGCCCAGAUGGGAUUAGCUAGUAGGUGGGGUAACGGCUCACCUAGGCGACGAUCCCUAGCUGGUCUGAGAGGAUGACGAGCAACACGGGAACGGAGACACGGUCCAGACUCCUACGGGAGGCAGCAGUGGGGAAUAUUGCCCAAGGGGCGCAAGCCUGAUGCAGCCAUGCCGCGUGUAUGAAGAAGGCCUUCGGGUUGUAAAGUACUUUCAGCGGGGAGGAAGGGAGUAAAGUUAAUACCUUUGCUCAUUGACGGUACCCGCAGAAGAAGCACCGGCUAACUCCGUG
rnacentral:rRNA from 1 species